GAAAGAAAUUCCUAAGUAACUGUGAGACCUCUAUGCCAUGAUAUGCCAUUUAUUUAGGACCAGGAUGAAUACACACAGUAAGCAUAUUCUGCAAUCAAACCCAUGAUUGGCUUGAGACAAUUAAGCUGCAGCCAACUACACAACAGGGCCUGUAUUCAAGGAAUUUUUAUGGUAUGUCUAUUGAUGUAAAAUGUGAGACAUGAGCUUCUUUCUUCUGAAAGAACCCCUGUGCUUCCCCCUCCUUUUCUCUAUUUUUUCUCUGCUUUCCUUCCUGCACUUCCUUCUAGUUAAACUUUAUGCUCCAUAUGGUGUUUCCUCCUAGACAUUAUCCAUACAUCAUAUCUAUAGAUCUAUAUAUCCCAUAUUUCUUUUGCACGCUCAUCUCAACAUAUUUCUCAUUCUCUGUCCUUGCCCCUACUUUUGUUCUUAUUUCCGUCUUUGGAGUGUAUGAACAUUUCUGCUUGUUUUCCUUCUGUCUUGUGACUUCUGACCCUUGUUGAUUUAGAAAUGCUGUGCAAUGUGUAGUACAUUUUUGGUGCUGUUAGAAGUAUUAAAUGAUGCUAUUGGUUUAAAUAUAUAGUGCAGAUUGGGCCUAAAUGGAAUUUCUCUGUCGUGGCUAGUACUUAAGUUUUGUGAGAGAUGGAGGCAGAAGCAAACUCCAAAGAAUGACACAUACAGCAUCCCUAGUGGUCCAAGCAUGCAGUGGGCUUUAGAUAGUGGCAUUCACAAAACUCCCCUGACACAUUCAGUGAAUAUAUAAAGUGGAAAUGGGAGCAGAGUAGCUGGCCACAUUUCUUCCACUCUGGUAGGCUCACUGCAUGCACCGCCAAAUGGCGUUGAGCUUGGAAUUAUUUAGAAUGGGACCUUUCACAGAAAAAGAUGUACAGUGGUACCUCGGGUUAAGUACUUAAUUUGUUCCAGAGGUCCGUUCUUAACCUGAAACUGUUCUUAACCUGAAGCACCACUUUAGCUAAUGGGGCAUCCUGCUGUCGCCACACCGCCGCUGCACAGUUUCUGUUCUCAUCCUGAAGCAAAGUUCUUAACCCGAGGUACUAUUUCUGGGUUAGCGGAGUCUGUAACCUGAAGCGUCUGCAACCUGAAGCAUAUGUAACCCGAGGUACCACUGUAUUCAGAUAGAACUCUUCUACACAGUUAUGGACUUGGCCAAUCAGGGCAGAUUUCCCACUAUGGCUGAACUCAUUGGGGGAAGUGGCAGAAGAUGCAUCGUUAUGAAGGGAGUAUGGCUAGGAGGCACACUGUGGCUACUCCUGUGUGUGUAUGUAUGUGUGUGAUUCAUAAAAUAGACUUAUGAACUUAAACCCACCUUUUGAACCACAAAAUGACCAACAAAACAGCUUGCAUCCAUAAAAAAUGAAUAUAAACAGACAAUAAAACAUGUUGUGAUAUCACUGGACACAUCAAUAGAAUUAUAUUUACAUUCCUUUUACAAUCUACUAUCUCAAUCUUCUCAAAGAAACUCUGUUGGAAGUUUAGCUGGGAGCCAAACUGAGGCCAUUUUACUCUUGGUUCUGAAGCACUGAGUCUUCAAACAAAUAAAAUAUUGAUUUAGAAGCAUUUAAAACUAGUUCAUUCUGAACCCCUUGCUUCCACAUUGGUUUUGAACAUAAGCUGAAAUGGGUUAUAUGUCCAAGUGGAUCCCCAGGAAGUGGUUUGUUUUAAUGUUUUGAUGUGGCAGGGUCUCUCUCUCUCUCCACACUGGUGCAUUCUGUGGGGACUCAUAUUUUGAAAAUGUGCUUUUUAAAAAUACUGAGCUGAAUCGUUCUAAAAUUCAUGGUCUGUAGGUGUUGCCAGAAUGAAAUUAAUCCAGUGCCUUUUCGAGCCUAGUAUCAUUUAUCUGUGUUUUCUUGGGUCUUGCUUCACUGCUCAUGCUUUUUGCAAUAUACUCUUCUUGAUUAAAGAGAGAGGCUAAAAUAAUCUUUCUGAUUAGUUCAAAUAGACAAGAGUAAUGUCUAAUUCUAUUUAAAAAAUAAAUCUAUUGAUAUAUUUUGCAAUGGUCUGAUGGUGUCAGAAGAUGAAUUAUGGUUAUUAACUGCAAAUGUACUCAUGGAGAAUGUAAAAGGUUUUUUAAAAGAAAGAAGGAAGGGAAAAAAGGACAUUGAAAAGAUACCUAGAGAGCUCAUAAACAAUAUGAUUCAUUUUCUGAUUGCUCAUGUGCUCUCAGUCAUUGAUAAAAAUAUUGGAUUUUAAUAAUCUAAUCAUAAUUUUAGAUUAUUUGUUCUUCAGGGCAGUUAAUUAAACAUGUGCUUAACUUAGAACAUAUCGGUCAGCAUCUAGCACAAAAUUAUGAUCCCUUAAGCCCCAUUGAUUUCAAUGAGACGUAUGUGCACAUGACUGUGCAUUGGAUUGCACUUGCUUUCUAUAAUCUACCAGGAACUUCUUGGGUGCAAGCCUCAUUGCAAUGAAUGGAUGUUGUGCAUUCAGUCAUCCAUUCAUUUUAAUGGCAGAAAUUCACAAAUUAACUGUGUCCAUUGGCUUUGAAGAGAUAUUGAUUGCCAAACACACCUGGCAAAUUAAAAGCCAGGAGACUUAUAAUAAAGCUUAAUGAAACCUUAGCUUUUAUCUACGGACUUACAAUUUUAAUUGCAGCAGCCUGGUUUAGAAUAAUUCACUCUAACUAGCCUCUUAAGAUAUUAAUUUAUUUUGUUAUAUGUUAAUCUUGCAACCUGCCAUCCUGGAGUUCAGUGUGGAAUAUAUGGUCCCCUUUCACUUAUUUUUAUCAUCAGAAAAGGUCUCUAAUGGAGGUAGCCAGAGAAUUUGUUAAUGGUCAAAGGUCAUCCAGUGAACUUCAUGGCUGAAAGGUGCCUCUUCUUACUUCUACCCAGGCUCAAGUUGUAUACCUGUUAGGGCUAUGCAUCAGCUCCCUGUGUGCCAUGAAUAACAAGGCAAAUAUUGGCUGUAAGUCCUGGAAGAGCUGUUCCCUGCCUUGCCUGGGAGGGUCGGGGCUCUGACUGACUCCAGCUACAAAAGCUGCUGAACACACUCUUGGUCUAUGGUAUUGUUAGGGUGUUUUGUUUGGGUGUUUUGUUGUUGUUAAUGAUAUUAAUUUACACACACAUAUAUAUAUCUUAUUGUGAUUUAUGUGGAAAUUGUUUCAACCUGGUUGUGCACUUUUUUAUAUGUUUUAUUUAUUGUUUAUGACUUUUGUUAUGUUUGUGAGCAUGUAUAUCUUAUGUUGUAAGCUGCAUUGAGCAUGGUUUUAACUAUGGAAAGGCAGCAUACAAAUAAAUGAUGAUGAUGAUAUUGGGAUGAUUCACAUUUCUGAACCAGAUCAUGUCAUUAAGAAGAUGUCUUGAGGUGGAUCAGGGACUCUCCAUUUGGCAGUGUCUCUGUGGCUUUGACUCUCAAAAAAACCACAACACCAUUUUUUUUACACCCACCCACACCUGAGAGACAAAACCAAAUUGACCUGAGAAGGGAAGAGGUGGGAAGGAGAGGUGGAAACUGCUUUGUUUCAGAGGGCACUCAUGGGUAUGUUAGGAUAUUUCCGUUCCACCUUAAGAAGGGAGCAGGUUGUUGUGUCACAGCCUGCGUAUUUCUUGUUCACAGGAAGUUUAUGUUUUGUACAUUGCUUUCGUUUCUCUCUCUGUGUCUGAACACACAGGCAGGCAGUCAUGUUUUUUCUUUGUUCUGACCAACGCUGAAUAAACUUGUAAAUAUGCUCUCCUGAGUGCAUCUUUCGCUGUGCGAACUCUGCUGAUAGAGCGUGCACGAGCUCUGGAAUGUGGAAAGCUAUUUCCGAGGCUUUGUGUCACUAAUUGACUGAUACUGUGUUUCUACCAGAGAUCGAUUGAUCGUCCGGAGACGGCGUGGGGGCCAUGAUGGCUUUUGUCUCCCAGGCAGUAUCCCAACAACAGGUUUCGGGCCCAGAUUCACGGCACUUACAGGAGAGUAAGACUGCAAAAGACCGCGUUGAGGUAUGUGGGAAAAGCGAAAGUAAGACUUUUCUGUUGCCGCGGCAGAGAGCCUUUGAUGUCAGGCUGGCUUAAUUGGCCUGGGAGUCGCGCCAGAGGCUUCGUGAUUUAUGAGCUGCCGAGAUAAGAAGUUUUUGAAGGCAUAAAAGCUCAUGGCUCAAGUAAAAACCUGGAAUGGAGUUUUUACAAGCCUCAGAUGAUGGCACUCAGUGCCCAAAGUUGAAUGCCCACAAUUAUGAGGCCUGGGCAAGAUGGUGUGAGAGUCUACUACGGCAGUUUGGAGUGUGACAUACUGUGUGUGAAGCCCCUCCAGUUCCUCUGACAGAUAGAUGGAGGGCCCAAGAUUCAAGGGCCAUAGACGUAAUUGUCUUGUCCGUCUCUCUGGAGGAAAUUGCCACGCUAGCUGGCAACACAACAGCAUGUCAGAUGUGGAAUGCUUUGAAAGUAGUCCAUCUGCCGGUCAUCCCAGCCCAGAGUUUGACUGCGUCGGAGGUCCUGGCUGUUUCCCAGAAUGCGAGUGAAUGCAGGGAUGCAGAGGGCACCGGUUGCAAGCUGCAGGGGGAGCUGACUGUCACGUCCUCCCAGGCAGCAUUCCAGCCUCCAGGGGGAGCCAAGGAGUCGGCAGCUGAGAGCUCUGUUUCUCAUGGGAGCCAAGGUCAUCCUCACAGAUACCGGAAGGCCAGAAGUAAACAGAGACAGAUGCCUGCAGAAGGCCCGAAGCAGAAGGGGGGUGGAAAGCCCACGCCAGUGGAAAACAAGUUUUUGUUUUCUGGCACAGCUUCACCAAAGGCUAAAGGCAAGUCUGAUGGCCAGGAGCAGGGGGGCAAGCAGCAGCAGCCCAAGCCAGUGGAAAACAAGGUUCUGUUUGCUGGCACUGCGUCCCCAAAAGCCAAAGGAAGAUUUAUUGUUGACUCUGGUGCUAGCCGCCAUUUGGCAAAAGACCGGCAUCUCUCUAUCUCCUUCACACCUCAAGAUGGAGAGAUCCACCAGGCUGAUGGAAAGAUGUUGCGAAUUGCAGGAGUCGGGACUGUGAAACUGGCAAGUCUACACACUACCAUCAGAGAUGUACUUUAUGUUCCAGGUUCUGCAGACAAUUUGCUCAGUGUCCCACAGCUGACUGGGCGUGGCUUUGAGAUUUCCUUCAAGAGGAGCGUCUGUGUCAUCAGGAAAGGCAAAGAGGACAUUUUGCAUGCAAAGUUUAUAGAUGGUUUGUUCUGUAUAACUUAUGAUGACAAUGGUGCUGCU